GGAUGUGAGGGCAAUCUGGCUGGGUCGUCUGUCACCUCAUUGAUUGCCAGGAUUAACUCUGCUGAUCUGGCUGGCUAGGCGGGUAUCUCUAUCCUCCCCCACCAUGCC
rnacentral:sRNA from 1 species